AUGACGAAGAAGAAGAAGUGGUUGUUGCGCCCAAAAUCGAACGCAAACGUGACAAGGAGAGCACAAUGGCGACUAGACGUGGGAGGCCAAUUAAGAUAAAUCCAAAGUAUGGUGCAGCUACAGAUGUCCCUGUGUCUGCUGUUCAGGAAAAUGCAGGAUCCAGUAUGCAGACUGCACAGCAAGUGUGCAGACAAAUCCCUGUGUCUGCUGUUCAGGAAAAUGCAAGAACAGGUAUGCACACUGCACAGCAAGUGUGCAAGUAGGCUACUCUGGUCAAUGCACAUCAUGUUUCAAAAUACUAUAAUAAUUUUAGAUUUGGAUGAGCCGCAUAAAAAAGUGAUACUUUACACAGCUUUUUGUCAGUUAAAAUUGCAAAUGACCUUGCGUUACAUGUACUUUGAAUAAUACAUUAAAAUAGAGAACUUUUUUUAUUGUAAUUUUUCACAAAAUUAUUGUUUUAAUUUUUUUGAUCAGAUAAAUGCAGCCCUGGUGAACAGAAGACAUUUUUCAAAAUCAUAAAUAACUAAUCUUUCCAAAAAUUUGAAAGGUGUUUUAGUAAUAACAAUUCUAUUAAUACUUUGUUAUAUUAUAUGAUUAAAUGAUUAUUUAUAUUUUCACAGAACAUUGUUAUGUACAUUUUAAAGGCACAAUAUGAAUUUUUUUUCGCUAGAGAUCACAUUUUCAAAACAAUAACAGAGGCAAAGUUUGAUGAUGCAAUAACUGAGCAUGAAACUAUGCACGUGCUCAGUCCUUCACUCAGUCUAGUUAAGUAUGUGUAGCAUAUUCAUGCAGAAAUGGCAUCAUUGCUGGGCAACUAUGGCCAGGGAUGAGUCAUUUCUUAAACCCAGAAUAUUUACAAAUCUUUGAGAAUGUUUGAAAUAACACAAGUACACAGCUGUACAAAAUAUAUAAUACUAUGCAAGUGGUUUUUGGAUAUUUUAUUGCAAAAAUGUUACACAUUGUGUCUUUACUCACUUUACUCAUAGUGUCUUAACAGAAAAAAAAAACGCUGCUUGCAGAAGUGCUCAGAGCACUUUUAAUAGUUUUUAUUUUUAUUGUGCAAUUUUACAAUGUACAAUAACUCUUUCAUAAAAGUAUUUAUUUAUUCUUUUAUGCCAACAUUUUUAUGAAUGUUUAAAAAUUCUUGUCAUUUUCUUUACUUUUAGAAGUUGCACCCACCAUACAAAUACAAUUCCAAAAUGCAAAGCAAACAAUAGAAGUUCAAAAACAGAAAAUCCUUCACCUGGAGGAUAAGGUUAACUCUCUGACAGAGGAGAGAAAUUAUCUUCGUGCAAGACUUGAAGAUGCUUUAAUUCAGAAGGGUCCCUCAGAAGGGGUACCUACACAGACUGCAACUACAAGAAAGAGCAGUACUUCUGAAUCUUCAAAUUUUUCAACUUCCGAGUCCUCUGAUUCUGAGCCCCCAAAACACAAAAAAAGAAAGGUUAAGGAGAAACACAGAGCGAAAAGACAUAAGAAAUCAAAGAAAUUGACUUCUGACUAUUCCAAAAGAGUGCAUACCCCAGAAGAAUCGCUGAAGAGGUACUACAAGGUAUUAAACCUUGUAAAACAGGGCCUGAGUAAGGCAGAGGCCUACAACAGACUAAACGUUGACAGGAA